rnacentral:rRNA from 1 species
CACGCAGGCGGUUUGGUAAGUCAGGGGUGAAAGCCUACAGCUUAACUGUGGAAUUGCCUUUGAUACUGCCUUUCUUGAGUGCAUGAGGGGGAAGCGGAAUUCCGAGUGUAGAGGUGAAAUUCGUAGAUAUUCGGAGGAACACCGGUGGCGAAGGCGGCUUCCUGGCAUGUAACUGACGCUCAGGUGCGAAAGCGUGGGGAGCAAACAGGAUUAGAUACCCUGGUAGUCCACGCCCUAAACGAUGGGCACUAGGUGUGGGAGGUAUCGACCCCUUCCGUGCCGCAGCUAACGCAUUAAGUGCCCCGCCUGGGGAGUACGGCCGCAAGGUUGAA